CUGGCUCAGGAUGAACGCUAGCUACAGGCUUAACACAUGCAAGUCGAGGGGCAGCAUAUCGAAAGCUUGCUUUGAUGAUGGCGACCGGCGCACGGGUGAGUAACGCGUAUCCAACCUUCCCUAUACUAGAGGAUAGCCCGGCGAAAGUCGGAUUAAUACUCUAUGUUGUAUUUAGAAGACAUCUGAAGAAUACCAAAGGUUUACCGGUAUAGGAUGGGGAUGCGUCUGAUUAGGUUGUUGGCGGGGUAACGGCCCACCAAGCCCACGAUCAGUAGGGGUUCUGAGAGGAAGGUCCCCCACAUUGGAACUGAGACACGGUCCAAACUCCUACGGGAGGCAGCAGUGAGGAAUAUUGGUCAAUGGACGAGAGUCUGAACCAGCCAAGUAGCGUGCAGGAUGACGGCCCUAUGGGUUGUAAACUGCUUUUAUACAGGGAUAAAGUGACGUACGUGUACGUUUUUGUAGGUACUGUAUGAAUAAGGACCGGCUAAUUCCGUGCCAGCCGCAGC
rnacentral:rRNA from 1 species